GGGGCCACUGCCUCCACCUUUGAGCAGCGCUGCUGUGGGGAUCUGGGCAUGAGACCCCUUCACCCAGGAGGGGAGGCGCAGCCUGGAGACACAGGCCCCAUCAUUCCCAAUGGGGACAAUUCAGGGAGUGGCUCUCAGGUCCUGAGAAAGACUUUCCUGGCCACAGGAGAUGCACGGACAUCGGGAACAGACAGAGGAAGGACGUGCAGUUGCAGCCUUUUCAGCAGACGCCCUGAGAACGGGAGGUCGGGAGUCGGAGCAAACGGGCCUCAGACCUAAGGCAGGAGCACCCCCUACGCCAGACCUCCUGGGUCACAGGAAAUGCACAGACAUUGGGAAGGGGCAGAGGACGGAUGGAGGAAGGAUGUGCAGUUGCAGCUCUUUCUGCAGAUGCCCUGAGAGAGGAGCAAGAAGGUCCUCGCCAGAUGCUCCUGGACUUGCUUUGGACUUUCCCUUGCUCUUGACUUCACAGCCUCUAGAACUUUGAGAAAUAAAUUUCCGUUUGG
rnacentral:lncRNA from 1 species